UGGCUCAGGAUGAACGCUGGCGGUCUGCUUAACACAUGCAAGUCGAACGCAACCUUCGGGUUGAGUGGCGGACGGGUGAGUAACGCGUGAGAAUCUGCCUUGGGGUCGGGGACAACCACUGGAAACGGUGGCUAAUACCGGAUAAGCCUUUGGGUAAAAAAUUUAUUGCCCCAAGAGGAGCUCGCGUCUGAUUAGCUAGUUGGUGAGGUAAAAGCUCACCAAGGCAGCGAUCAGUAGCUGGUCUGAGAGGACGAUCAGCCACACUGGGACUGAGACACGGCCCAGACUCCUACGGGAGGCAGCAGUGGGGAAUUUUCCGCAAUGGGCGAAAGCCUGACGGAGCAAGACCGCGUGAGGGAGGAAGGCUCUUGGGUUGUAAACCUCUUUUCUCAGGGAAGAAGCUCUGACGGUACCUGAGGAAUCAGCCUCGGCUAACUCCGUGCCAGCAGCCGCGGUAAUACGGAGGAGGCAAGCGUUAUCCGGAAUUAUUGGGCGUAAAGCGUCCGCAGGUGGCGAUUCAAGUCUGCUGUCAAAGCACGGGGCUUAACUCCGUUAAGGCAGUGGAAACUGAAUAGCUAGAGUGCCGUAGGGGUAGAGGGAAUUCCCGGUGUAGCGGUGAAAUGCGUAGAGAUCGGGAAGAACAUCGGUGGCGAAAGCGCUCUACUGGACGGCAACUGACACUCAGGGACGAAAGCUAGGGGAGCGAAUGGGAUUAGAUACCCCAGUAGUCCUAGCUGUAAACGAUGGAUACUAGGUGUAGCUUGUAUCGACCCGAGCUGUGCCGAAGCUAACGCGUUAAGUAUCCCGCCUGGGGAGUACGCACGCAAGUGUGAAACUCAAAGGAAUUGACGCGGGCCCGCACAAGCGGUGGAGUAUGUGGUUUAAUUUCGAUGCAACGCGAAGAACCUUAC
rnacentral:rRNA from 1 species